GAUGAACGCUGGCGGCGUGCCUAAUACAUGCAAGUCGAGCGAACAGACGAGGAGCUUGCUCCUCUGACGUUAGCGGCGGACGGGAGAGUAACACGUGGAUAACCCACCUAUCAGAGUGGGAUCAUCUCGGGAAACCGGAGCUAAUCCCGGAUAAUAUAUUGAACCGCAUGGGUCAAUAGUGAAAGACGGUUUUGCUGUCACUUCUAGAUGGAUCCGCGCCGCAUUAGCUAGUUGGUAAGGUCACGGCCUACCAAGGCAACGAUGCGUAGCCGACCGGCGAGGGUGAUCGGCCACACUGGAACGGAGACACGGUCCAGACUCCUACGGGAGGCAGCAGUAGGGAAUCUUCCGCAAUGGGCGAAAGCCUGGCGGAGCAACGCCGCGUGAGUGAUGAAGGUCUUCGGAUCGUAAAACUCUGUUAUUAGGGAAGAACAAAUGUGUAAGUAACUAUGCACGUCUUGACGGUACCUAAUCAGAAAGCCACGGCUAACUACGUG
rnacentral:rRNA from 1 species